NNNNNNNNNNNNNNNNNNNNNNNCAUGGGCAGUCCUCUCCAAAUGACAUCACCCUUCUCAGGCUCAACAGCAGCUGCUGAUUUCAAGUGCUCAGCUGGGACCCUAAUGCCUCCCUGCGUGGCACUCACCAAGAACCACUGGAAUCAACAUAAGAGGACUUUCAGGAACUUCCUUUUCUUUAGGGGAACCUUUGGCCUAGAAAAGGGGGAAUCUGGUCAUUACUAAAGCUUCAAGCUUUGGGCAAAACCAUUCACAAGUACAUGGUCACUUCCAAGCUGGAAAGAAACCAGUUUGGAAGUCUGCUGCUGACAGACCAGACUCCAGCAGGAACAUGGUUCCUGUCGGCACCAUUCACCACCACGUGCAGACCUUCGUGGAAGUAAGUGCUCCAAGAGCAUCAUCAGAAAAGGAUUUAAAAACAUCCAGGGAAUCAAACAGAUUGACCAAGCAAAAACAGCAAACAGUCUUUGUGCUGUGCUUCCUUUCGCUUUUGCUACAAAAGCAGACCUCCUUCCACCUGAGCUAAAACGGACCUUUUGGGGGGGAGGGACAAGGGGAGCCACAGCCCCUGCUCAGCACCACGGUGCUCAGGGACCAACCUGCCCUGCGCCACAUCGCUGCUCUGCGACGCAGGGUCCGAGGGACGCUGCCAGGCACCACCGAAACAAGGGAAACUGCUCGCAUUGCACGGUGCCCAGUGCAGCAGCCCCUGCCUGCCCUGGCAGACCUCUACGGGGCAGGCUGGCAACCAGCUCCCUGCUCCAAGGUCUCCUUCCCCACCAACAGCCACAGCCCUUUUCUCCCCGACACCCGCCCCAGCCACUCCCUCCCCGCGGGGCUUUGUGCCCCUGGGCGCCUGCGCCGAGCCCCGGGCAGGCGGGGGGCGGGGAGCGGGAGGGGGGGCCCUCCUCGGGGCGGGUUCUGGAAGCUUCGCGGGGCUCCUGGAACAGGGCACCCACGAGCUGCUCCCUGAUUGGCGGGAUGUUCCCGCCAGCGGCCCCCUGAUUGGUGGCUCAAGCGCUGAAA
rnacentral:lncRNA from 1 species